rnacentral:rRNA from 1 species
AAUCAACGCUGGCGGCGUGCCUCAGACAUGCAAGUCGAACGGCGAAAGUUCCCUUCGGGGAGCGAGUAGAGUGGCGGCACGGGUGAGUAACACGUAGGUAAUCUACCCUCGAGUGGGGGAAUAACACCGGGAAACCGGUGCUAAUACCGCAUACGAUCACGAUGUCUGCGGAUGACGUGAUGAAAGGAGCAAUUCGCUCCAGGAGGAGCCCGCGGCUGGAUUAGCUAGUUGGUGAGGUAAUGGCUCACCAAGGCUUCGGAUCAGUAUCCGGUCUGAGAGGACGGUCGGGACACACUGGAACUGAGACACGGUCCAGGACUCCUACGGGAGGCAGCAGUGGGGAAUUUUUCGCAAUGGGGGCAACCCUGACGAAGCAACGCCGCGUGGAUGAUG